rnacentral:rRNA from 1 species
CCAUCAUUUAAAGAAAGCGUAAUAGCUCACUGGUCGAGUCGGCCUGCGCGGAAGAUGUAACGGGGCUAAACCAUGCACCGAAGCUGCGGCAGCGACGCUUAUGCGUUGUUGGGUAGGGGAGCGUUCUGUAAGCCUGCGAAGGUGUGCUGUGAGGCAUGCUGGAGGUAUCAGAAGUGCGAAUGCUGACAUAAGUAACGAUAAAGCGGGUGAAAAGCCCGCUCGCCGGAAGACCAAGGGUUCCUGUCCAACGUUAAUCGGGGCAGGGUGAGUCGACCCCUAAGGCGAGGCCGAAAGGCGUAGUCGAUGGGAAACAGGUUAAUAUUCCUGUACUUGGUGUUACUGCGAAGGGGGGACGGAGAAGGCUAUGUUGGCCGGGCGACGGUUGUCCCGGUUUAAGCGUGUAGGCUGGUUUUCCAGGCAAAUCCGGAAAACUAAGGCUGAGGCGUGAUGACGAGGCACUACGGUGCUGAAGCAACAAAUGCCCUGCUUCCAGGAAAAGCCUCUAAGCAUCAGGUAACAUCAAAUCGUACCC